CAGCAGAGGAAACCAUCACCAAAAUGAAAUGGCAGCCUACUGAAUGAGAGAAGGGCCGACUUAUCUAGAAGUAUUUUCCCUACACCCAACACUUUCCCUGCAAUCACCCAGUUCAGGUUCGAAAUCCUAUUUUUUCUUGUGUGCUCAAAGGCACGACUCUGACAGUAAGUAGUCCUUUCUCACUUGAACAGCAUUAAAUCUCCCCUUCUCUGCUGACUCAUUUCAUCAGCAAAUAGGAUCUGUUUUCUUCUGACUUCAAAAAAUACACUGCUUCUGUGGUCCCCUCUUCAAGAAACAAUAAUCCCAGUCUAGUCCUGAGGGACUUUCAACAAAAUAUCUAAGCAUUACUCCACAAAACUCCCAAGGUCAUGAAACAAAAAGGCUAGCUGUCCUGGGCCAGCAGAGACUGAGUCAACUUGGCAACUACAUGCAAAUGGUUUCUGGGGCUGGACCUUGUAACAAGAAAAGGACAUUAAGGGAACAAUUGCUGAAUAAAUUGAUAAAUAAAGCCUGAAUAAAGUCUGAA